rnacentral:lncRNA from 1 species
GGGUACCUGUAUUGUUCAGAUUGCUUCUGAGAAGCAAGAACUUUUUCGGCGCGUAAUGGAAGAUAACGAAGAGGUGUCGUUCUUUUGUGACGUCAGCGUAUGUGUACCUAUUCCUUUGUUUGCGGUGUACUGAGGGACCGAUGUAUCCACUGGAAUAGUUGGUACUCUCGGACAGGUUUUCUCACUGAGAUGAGCAGAGAAGGGUUUGCACAGGGGAGUGUGAAUGUGUGUGUUGCUGGCUGAGUGGCACGGAUGAAGGGAUGCGAUGCAGUGUCUGGCACACUGAGAUGUUCCGCAAAGGAUGCUGAUCUACCAGGUUUAGCUCAACCUGGAAUAGCUGACUACCCAGGGAGCCACCCAGAUGGGGAAUCCAGCUUCCUUCUUCACCCGCCCCCUCCAGGGUUAUUAAGCAUUUUUUUUUUCUUUUCUGCAAACCUUUGCUUUCCCAUAAACUGUAGCUUCCCCGUGACUAGGAAUUUAGCCAUAAGACUAGUUCAAGGCUAACCACCAAGCUUCCCUUUGACUGGCUCCAAAGGCUUUUAUUUAAGUGAGAUGGAAAAGCUGAAUGCUGACACACCCCACCCAUAAGCAAAGUAUCAACGCUUUCUGAUUUCCAGUACUGGGUGUUGAACCCAGAGCCUUUUAUAUGCUGGGCAAGUGCUCUACAGUUUUCACUCUUUAUUCUGAGACAGGGUCUCCCCAUGUUGCCCAGGCUGGUCUUGAACAACUGCCUCACUCUAUAGCCCAAGUUAUCUAGGUCUGAUAGUUGGGAUAAAGGGCUCAGCUCAGUUUACCUGUUACAAUUCAUAGUAUAUUGUUGUUUGUGACAUGAACUCCAAGAUACACAAAGGAGCCCAGGGAACUAUGUCCCCAGUAGGUUUAACCCAACCAAACACCAGAGGCUGUUAAUUGUGGGUGGUGCUGUCAGUGUUCCUGACGGCUAUGUGUGUAUUUUAAUGGGGUUUGUCCUCAUCCACAAAUAAUUAUUUUUUUGUUAUUUUCCUGUGUUUCUUCUCUCUCUCUCUCUCUCUCUCUCUCUCUCUCUCUCUCUCUCUCUCCCUCUCUCUCUCUCUCUCAUUAUGCCCUUGAACUGUAUUUUAGUGGUAAUGUGGGAUAGUAAUCUCAGUGAAAAGCAAACAGCGCAGGGUCUUGGAAGGGUGGUCUUUAUACAGGUUUUACUGUAAUGGUAAGGAUCGACUCGAGACAGUAUUAGUAAAUAUAUUUUGUAUGGAUCAAAACAGUGAGCACCGUAUGAAUGAGAGCUGAAGAAGGACUUUUAUUUUGUUAUAACAUUGUUACCUUGUCAGUAUUAUUUCAAAGGUUCUUUGAAGAAUAGGGGGGGUGGGGAGGGGUCAGAGUAGAGUUUUAAAGUCUGAGUAUUUCAAAUUAUCAGUGUUGCUUUGUGAAGAUAUGUGUGUGUGUAUAUUCAACUUUGAUGGCUUCCGGAUCUGUAAGAUUGUAUGCUGUAUAUACCGUUCUAUUGAGAAACAUGUACACAUGUCUGUCUACUGUGCUUUCAGACAUAGAUAAAGCAUGAUAAAGAUUAUUAUUUAAG